GCGGGAACCUCCGGGCGAGGCGUGAGGGGACUUGAGGGGUGAAGGGUGAGGACUGAGGGUUGAGGGGGCUGAGGGCGGAAGGCUGAGUCCCUCCGCCUCUGAGGGCACGGCGUUAGACCCGCGGGGUGAGUCGCGGGAGGCGCUAGCCCCCGCCGGCACCGGAGAAAGAAAGGGUUAAAGGCCGGCAGUGUUUGGCCACCGCGGUACAGCCACGUCGUACAGCGCCCGCAGGGCAGCUGCUGAGUGAGCGACACGUCUACGCAGGGCUCUGAGACAGCGGCGCUGCCCACUCGGGUGGCACGGGGCUGGUCUUGGAAGGGAGGGAAGCCUUUGGAGGUGGCGCUGGGAGGCUGCACUUCACUACUUAGGUUUUGCGGGUACUCUGAGGAUGGAAGGGCCAGUUAGGAGGCUGAGCAAAGCCAUUGCUACAGAUAGCAAAGAAAUGCAUCUCACUCCCAGUGACAUUGCUGUGAAGAUGCAGAAGAGGAACACCAAAUUCCAAGACUUGCUGCAGGCAUGAACGCUCCCAGAAGUGUGAGUCAGCUCAAAACAACUGCUAGGAUCUGUGAUGGAACAUGCCUGCCACUUUCACUGUUAAUGGAAAACAAUGAAAUAUCUGGCAGGAUCAGUUACAUUAAGGUGUGAUUUCCUGCUGGCAUAAGAUCUGGAGGCCAAAGGGGAGACUGAAUGUGAACUAAGCUGUUCAUUCCUGCUUUAGCCAUGCCCUGGAAGAACUUAUCAUACCACUCAAGUCACUUUAGAGGCAUUAAAAAGGCACCAAGAAAUAGUGUUAACAAAGUCAAGACAAAUUGCGUUCAUCUGGAGAGUUAGAGCUAUGGAAACCUGCAGUUAAUGCUGUUGAGGUGCUAAUGAAGUUGAUGGGAAGGAACCCUUUAAAAGGAACUUGGAUUCCGAUGUAGAAGGACUGUAGAUGAGGGGACCAAAGGAUGUCUUUUUGGGCAUGGUGUCCAUGGGCAUGGUUAACACACCAAAUGGUACAGAAAACAUUACAUGCAUGGAGAGCAUCAAAACUGAAAUUACUGUUGGUGUGGUAUCCUUUGGGUUUCCUGAAUUCUUAGAAUUUUAUCUUUAGUACUCACAAAUAAAUAAUGGUUGUGAUUAUAUUUAAA